rnacentral:sRNA from 1 species
UAACAAUGCACUGUGUGUAUCAGGAGUC